GGGGAAGGAGGCAGGAGGGGAAGGAGGGAAGAAAGGCUCGCAGACAAAGGAGGGGCCCGGUGAUUGACGAGGCUGCGGGAGGUCCCUCGCGCCUUUAGCUCCUCCGACACAAACUACGGAAGCUCGGGCCUUUGCCGCUCCUCCCUCCUUUUACUGCUCCCCCAGGCUGUUUUUCUGCUGCUCUCGCGACACCUCCGAAGACGAGAAGUGCGCCGAGACUUUGACGAAGCGCAGACUGACCGGGAUGUCGUUGAGGUUCAGCUGCUUCAUCAGGCUCUCCUGGAUCUUCUCCUCUAUCUGCAUUGCUCUGCUGCUGGCAAGGAGCAGGGCCCACACCGCCCAGAGUUGAACUGUCAUCACUGAUUUUAAGGUUGUCCUAUGGUAUUAUGGAAAUAAUGAUGGGAAUAAGAACCUGUAAGUGGACAAGGACCUGGAAUGUAGAGAAGGAACAGGACUCAAAAACCAGGACCCACCUAUUUUUAAAAGCUGAUUCUCUUCAUUACUGAACAAUUGCAACUGGUUUGAAUCAUCUGUUUAUCGAAGAGAGCCAUGUCGUUCAGAAUUAAUCGUCAUACAGUCUUCUUGUUGCUGUGUAUAAUGAUCUCCUAGUCCUGCUCAUUUCAUUCAGCAUCAGUUCAUGUAGCUCUGAGAAUCCUGUAACUACUUUGUUCAAGUAUCUCAAACCUCUCCCUGUGGUUUAAUUUGCCUGUUUAGUAGGAAGCUGGACUCAUCUUCUCAAUUCAUUGCAUUGAGCAUUCCAUGAGUGACUUUAUGAGCCUUUCACUGUACUACUCAAUGCUAAGAUACAAAAUUACAUAAGAAAGCUGAAGUUCCAAAGGAUUAAGCAUCUUGCCCACCCAGGGUCACCAAACCCAUAAGUAUUUGAAUUGGGAUUCAAGUCCAGUUGCCGAAGUAACUGAAAUAUAAUGUGAAAGACAGGUGUUUCUUUGAAGAAAAAAAUAAAGCUGCAGCCCGCAAGGCAUCCCAGAACCAUCAUUUUUUGGAUGGCUUAGAAGGAGAGGUUCUACUGUGUCUGUCCAGAUCACUUCUCAGCACUUUAUACCCCAACAUUUAGCCCAACUAGUCAACAAUUCUGACUGAGCACAGAAGUUCUUCCCUGAUGAUGGAGCUCUAAAAAGCCACUUGAUUCAAACCCCCUACCCUUCUUGGAUCUCACUUGAGAACUUAGAUGAGAAAACUGAAGGCCUGGAUGAUGACCUGACUAGUCCAAAGUCACAGAGGUAGUUAGCAAUGGAGCCCCUCCUGGCACCUUACGUAACUGAGCCUUUUCUGUUGGCCUCUACCACUAGUGAGCCAGAAGUUUACACAGGAAAAUUAAGAAGUGUGACAGUCUGAGCCCUACCAGCAAGUCCAAAGAGAAAUGUUUUGGAAGAAUGAACAAAAAAGGAAUCUCACCAUAAAGAGCUAUUAUGGUAACAGAGAAGUUCAAGACAAACCAUGCAGAAGAAAAUGACUCCAUAACAUCUACAAGAAAGAGUUUGUGUUUCCUUUGCAGUACAGAAAUAAAUUGAAGCCAUUUUGAGAGAGACAAGAGGUUCUUGUGAAAUCAACACUUUCAAUUCUUUCAAGAAACUAUGGGAUAACAGAAUGUACCUCCCUUGCCUGCGCUGUAACUAGCCUUCAAAAUUGGACCCCAUCAUCCUCUCGUAGAAGUCUUACUGUUACCACAAGUUAUUUCAACAUGAGUUCCAGCAUUGUAAAAGUGGGAGAUGAAGGCUGAUUUUCUCCUCUGAGAUCAGUUGAAGCAUGGAGAUCAUGGUGCUAAUGACUUUUCUAUUCAGUUGUUUCCAAGAGUUCGAAAACCAGUCUGAUGUCUUUUUCGGGUUUUCUGGUUUCCAAAGUCAUAUUAACAGUGGCAAUAUAUUUUCCUUGUGCUGCCAUGUUGUGUGUGGAAAAAAAUUACAAAAACAAAGAUGCCUGAUUUCCAUUUGGCAUAGCUGUAUGGAAUGGUGAACUGUGAUAAAUUGUCAUCAUUGAUGGUCUGGAUUGGAUGACUCAGGAUUAGGUAAUUCUAAUAACAAUAACAACAAUAACAAUAAGAAUGAUAAUGGACAUUAUAUAAAGCUUUAAAGUUUGCAAAGCAUUUUACUUAGAUUGUCAUUUGAACCUUACAACAACUUUUGAGGCUGGUCCUACAGGGUAGGUGGUCCCUGUAAUGUCCGGGCUAGCUCUCUGGAGGACCUCAGGAUUAGCCUGAGUCCUUGGUCUUAGUGGAGGAAUGAAGGAGGCAGGAGACUCCCGAGGAUGGAUGGUCAAAGAUGAAGUCCAGAGUCAUCUUUGUGUCUAUGUCUGUGGCUGAGAGGCUCAUUCCCAUUCCUCCCAGCCCUUAAAUACUUCAGUAUGAUUACCUCACUACAAAAACUGAGCAUAUGCAACCAUUACAUCACCUUAUCACAUUAAGUAUAUGUUUAGAGAACCAUUAUCUCACACUGAGUAGGUGCUU